UACGAAGGGGGCUAGCGUUGCUCGGAAUGACUGGGCGUAAAGGGCGCGUAGGCGGCGGACACAGUCAGAUGUGAAAUUCCUGGGCUCAACCUGGGGGCUGCAUUUGAUACGUGUUUGCUUGAGUGGGGAAGAGGGUCGUGGAAUUCCCAGUGUAGAGGUGAAAUUCGUAGAUAUUGGGAAGAACACCGGUGGCGAAGGCGGCGACCUGGUCCUUGACUGACGCUGAGGCGCGAAAGCGUGGGGAGCAAACAGG
rnacentral:rRNA from 1 species